rnacentral:rRNA from 1 species
GAUGAACGCUGGCGGCGUGCCUAAUACAUGCAAGUCGAGCGAACAGACGAGGAGCUUGCUCCUCUGACGUUAGCGGCGGACGGGUGAGUAACACGUGGAUAACCUACCUAUAAGACUGGGAUAACUUCGGGAAACCGGAGCUAAUACCGGAUAAUAUAUUGAACCGCAUGGUUCAAUAGUGAAAGACGGUUUUGCUGUCACUUAUAGAUGGAUCCGCGCCGCAUUAGCUAGUUGGUAAGGUAACGGCUUACCAAGGCAACGAUGCGUAGCCGACCUGAGAGGGUGAUCGGCCACACGGGAGCGGAGCCACGGUCCAGACUCCUACGGGAGGCAGCAGUAGGGAAUCUUCCGCAAUGGGGGAAAGCCUGACGGAGCAACGCGGCGUGAGUGAUGAAGGUCUUCGGAUCGUAAAAAUCUGUUAUUAGGGAAGAACAAAUGUGUAAGUAAAUAUGCACGUCUUGACGGUACCUAAUCAGAAAGCAACGGCUAACUACGUG